GGGCACCACUUUGGACACCCUUAUGGAUUGGAUCCAAUCCUUUCGGAGGUGCAAGCCUCAAGCCUUCCUCUUUUACCCAUUUGACUUGGCACUGAACUUUUGGAAAGUAUCUUAUGGGGUGCACGCCACCUCUGGAUGAAAUCCAGAGGGGCACAUGCCCCCUUUUUUUCUAGCAGGUUCCAUGGGUGCAAGGCACAUGGAAUGCA
rnacentral:lncRNA from 1 species